UGAGGGUGGGGCGGGGGCAAGUGUCAGUCAGGUCGGGGACCGCGGCUGGGGACGGCGGAGACCCGGGCGGGCAGACUGGACGCCCCGUCCGCCGCCGCGCUUUCCGUGCAAGAUGGAGUUCCUGCUGGGGAAUCCGUUCAGCACGCCGGUGGGGCAGUGCCUCGUCACGAUAUCAUUGGAGAAUUUACAACAAGCUACCGGGAACUUUCUAGAGGGCAGUCCCAAUUCAAUGUAUACGAGGUGGUGAAUCCCAAAAAGAAAGGAAAAAAGAAAAAGUAUACGAAUUCUGGAACAGUAAUGUUACGCUCCUUCUUGGUAGAAACGGAAGUUUCUUUCCUUGACUACAUCAAGGGAUGGCUCCAUAAAUACUCAGAAUGUAAGUCUACUGCCUGGAUGGGAACAUCAGUUGUGGCUGCCCUACAUUGCAGUGGGUGAAACAUGGGGAGAUUUGGAAAGUACAUGGAAGGAGACUUAAAAAAUUUUUAAAGAGGGAUGUGGUAACCUUGAGCAGAAAGACCCAAGGCGGCCUGGGCCAUAAGCUGCAGGAACGACGUCGGGGGAAAAAGCGAGGCACCAACAACAGCUGUGCAGCAGUAUCGGCGGCGGCCAGAGAGAAAUGGAGCACCGUGGGCAGAAGAAGAAAGGCGCGGGCCUGGUGAGGAAGAGGAUUCGUCCGUGUCACACCACAGAGCGCCCCAGCGAGAAAGAUGAGAAGAGGCAGAGAAGGAAAAGACCAGAGAGAAAAAAGGGAAACGCGACCACGAGGGGAGGCCGAGUAUGGUCAUCAUCUGCCUCCCACUAGAAUUAGUAUGAAAAUGGAGGAGAAGCAGAGGUGGGACUUAUCCUCAGCACUCUGCAGUUGUAUGUGACAUCCCAAAUGGUGUGUUAAUCUGUUGCACGUCAAGUCAGCUACUCUUCUAGUGGUUUGUAGAACGUGCAUACUUUGAUAUUACCAUGUCUCUGAUAUCCCAGAUGUGACUUAUUACCCACACAGGACCUACUUUCCCCUGUCCAGCAAAGAAUAUCAUGAAUGAGUACCUUGAAAAGAAAGGUUAGCAAAGACAAAACAAGUCUUGAAACGUGAUGAUUAAUAAGGAAACUAAUUUCAGAGGAUUAAAACAAAAAGAUUUUUCUAUGCAGGGUCAAAUAUUUGGUAAAAUUUUUAUUUAGUAGAUAGAAAUAGUGUGAAAGCAGAUGAUUCCAUUAAAUAAUAGUAAAAAAAAUAGUGUUCAGCAAUGUGAUGAUUUCUAGGAUGGGAAAAUUUGCUUUCAAACCCCAAGCAUGAAGCAAUCAAUUUCAUGAGACUUUGAUAUAAAAACUGAGUAAGAAUUUUAAAGAAAAUAGUGUGCUCUAGUUUAAAGACCACAUUGAAGGAAAUAUUUCUUACUAUCAUUUUUCCACUGUGCUAAGGGCAUUUCCAUUAAUUUGAGAUGAAGUAUCAUGACCAGGAGAGAAGCAAUAAAAAGAUGGCUUGUGUCUGUCAUGAAAAUGACUUGUAACAAGGUACUCUUUGGAGCCAAAGUGCCACAAGGCCCACUGAGUCUUUGAAGGCAUUAUUUUAUUAAUAAACCAUGAGCCCCUGCCUGAAUUUUUAGUUUAUUUCCCAUGAAGGAAAACCUGAGGAGGCUGGGGCCAUAUUAGAAUAUGUGGAGGGUGGUAUCAAGAUCAUUAUUUCAAAGUGGUUUUUCUAUGUCAGUAAAUAGAUCCCUCAAGGGACUAAAUAUGUAUAUGGCCAAUACACAUAACCACAAUUCUUUUUUUUUUAAAGUAAGAAGUAUCCAAGAUCCAAAAUUCCCAAGAAAAGUGAAGUCUUCAUCCUGAGGAGAAAUUUGGUGGGAUGCCUUUAAGAGAAAAGCUGAAAUCAGCUAAGAUGUGUUAAAGAGGAGCAGGUUUUCUGUAAGGUUCAUUGAUGCUGGUGGGGCCUAGGAAGAAGUAACUCACAAAAGUCAUAAGCACAUGCACUUGUUUCCGAGCAGAGAUCUACAAUGAGGAAGCUCCACUGGGAGGAGAAUCCAAUGUGAAUGUUGGCAAAACUAAAAUCAAGGUAAAGAGAGAGUUCUAACCUAUGAUGAAAAAAUAGCAGAAAGGAAAGCUUCCAGAAAAUAGAGAAGAGCCAUGUUUUAGUACAAUUCAUAAGCUCAUACGAAACUUUAAAAUAUGAUGCCAGAAGAUUCUUCCCUGCCUGUCUCCUAACAACCUACACAGAAGCCUCCCCAUAAAACAGCAUAGAGCCAUUGUGCUCUAACAUGAACAUGGAAUAGGCACAGUUGCAAUUCACACACAGAGCAACAGAGAAUAAAAAAGCAAAGUGAAGACACAUGAAAGACAUUAUUACUAAACAACAACAAAAAUAUAUAUAGCAUUAAAAUGAUCUGACAUAAAUAAAAGAUUGAAAAAGAACAAAUUUGUCAUAAUCAGAACAAUUCAAGUAUGAAUAAUUAGAUUACUAUGUAAAUACCCAAAAGAAAAAGAAUUAGAAUUCAGUAAAAAUGAAUUAGAGAAGAAAAAAUUAAAUUAAAUUAAAUAGGUAAUACAAGAGUGGUACAUAAAGGAAGGUAAUAUAAGAAUGAACAUAAAUCAAACAGAUUUGAGAGGAAACUAAGCAUGUACAGAGUUAGACAAGAUUAUUCAGCAAUGGUGACAACACAGAAGCAAGCUGAAGCAAUGGAACAGAAUACAUGCUGAAAAUCUAGAAAUAAAAUACACUGUAAAUGCAAAAUAUGCUUGUACAGUGUAAUGUGUUUAAUAAAAUCACCCCAUAACAUUAAAAACUUAUACUAGCCACUGAUGAGGAAAAUGCAUGGGAACGAGGGUUUUCAUAUUAUCUGAAACUACAGAAAGAAAAAUUUGAAAACAUAAAGCAUCUCUCACACAGAUGUGCUAAAUGAGAAUCUUUUUUAAAAUUCCACUCGAUGGCUGGCGCCGUGGCUCACUAGGCUAAUCCUCCGCCUAGCAGCGCCGGCACACCGGGUUCUAGUCCCGGUCAGGCGCCGGAUUCUGUCCCGGUUGCCGCUCUUCCAGGCCAGCCCUCUGCUGUGGCCAGGGAGUGCAGUGGAGGAUGGCUCAGGUGCUUGGGCCCUGCACCCUAUGGGAGACCAGGAAAAGCACCUGGCUCCUGGCUCCUGCCAUUGGAUCAGCGCGGUGCGCCGGCCACAGCGUGCUGGCCGUGGCGGCCAUUGGAGGGUGAACCAACGGCAAAAGGAAGACCUUUCUCUCUGUCUCUCUCUCUCACUGUCCACUCUGCCUGUCAAAAAAAAAAAAAAAAAAAAAAGAAAGAAAGAAAGAAAAUGGAGUGGAAAAAGAAAUUCUACUCGAAAAAGGCAUUUACAAAUUUUAUUCUUUUUUCUGUAAAAUAAUAGCCAUGUCUUUAAUGUGGUUUAAAGGACACAAAUAUACUAACACACUUAUGAAGUAUGAUGAAUUUUAAAUGGAAAGACAGAACAAGAGAGAAAUCUCUCUUACAUCUGCUGAUUGACUACCCAAAUGGCCACAAUGGCUAGCAUUUCUCGAGGUCAAAGCCAGGAUUAUGGAACUCCAUCCAGGUCUCCCACAUGGGUGGCAGGAGCUCAAACAUAUGGGCCAUCUUCUACCUUUCUGGGAACAUUACUAGGGAGUUGUAUUGGAAACAGAUGAUCUAGAACUCAAACUGACACUCAGAUAUGGGAUACCUGCAUUGCGAGCAGUGGCUUAGCACCAACCCCAGAUUUUUUUUUUUUUUUUUUGGACAGGCAGAGUUGGGAGAGAGAGAGAAAGAGAGACAGAGAGAAAGGUCUUCCUUUUCCAUUGGUUCACCCCCCAAAUGGCCACUACGGCCAGCACGCUGUGCCAAUCCAAAGCCAGUAGCCAGGUGCUUCCUCCUGGUCUUCCAUGUGGAUGCAGGGCCCAAGCACUUGGGCCAUCCUUUACUACCUUCCUGGGCCACAGCAAAGACCUGGACUGGAAGUGGAACAACCGGGACAGAAUCUGGCACCCCAACUGGGAAUAGAACCAGGGUACUGGCAACGCAGGUGGGGGAUUAGCCAAGUGAGCCGUGGCGCUGGCCCAACCCCAGAUUAUUUUGAUGUUACAUCUGGUCAUUCAGUGUAUCUUCCAGCUAUGAAAUUCUACAACAGAAAAAUAUUUAUCUUUAUCCAGAGCCAAACACUUAUAGCACAUUAUUAGAAAAUUGGUUAUCAUAAUGAUUAAAACUUCUGUGCCCUGAAAGCCACUCUAGAAAUAAUGGUAUUUAGGUACAAGACCUUAUUAUGUUAAUUUAGGUGUAAAUUUUAUUCAAUGACUUUCCAUUUAAUGACCACUGGUGCUGAAGUAAUAAUCUAGGCUAAAUAACUAAUUCUUCUGGAAACUUGGGAUUUUCAACUGUAUUUAAGGUAUGCAAGUUUCAUGUUUUUCAUAUAUACAGAUUAUGGAACAUAGUUUAACUUGAUUAACACAGUAAGGUUGUCCAUUAUUCAUGAGGCCAUUUCCAUGGUUUAAAUCCCCAAAUACAAGCCUCCUCUCUCCCAUUCACAAUCUUUCUGGUUUUCAAUUGUCACUCUUAUCCAUAGUUUUCAGGAAAAAUAAAUGACAAAAACAGUAGGCAGCAUGAAUACUUUUAAAAAAUAUGAAGUCAUUUAGGAAAAGUAGUUUAUAAGGCAAAAACUCUAAACUUGAUAGGAUAAUAAAUUUUUAUUCUAUAAAAACAGUUAACCAUAAGACAAAUUGUCAGUAAGACAGGAUGCUUGAAAUGUAAAUGGCCACAAAAUAUUGUUUGUAAUGGUCAAAUUUGUCUCUAUGAAGUUGAUUGUAAUGAUUACGAUUAUAAUGGAGAAUAUCACAAAAUCAACACAUGUGAGAUAAGUCAAGACUUUAAAAUAAUUAUUUCUAUAUUAAUAGAAUACAUUUUAUAUUCAAUAAAACAAAACAUAGAAACAUUUUUAUGGAGGUCCAUAAAGAAAAUGAUACUCAUGGAUUCCAGUUAAGAAAACACAACAUCAAAGCACUGGCAUUGUGGCACAAUGGGUUAAGCUGCUAUCUGUGAUGCUGGUAUCCUAUAUGAGAACUGGUUUGGGUGCCUACUCCCUCACUUCUAAUCCUAACCUCUUCUCUUCUUCCCUUCCUUCCCUCCCCUCCCCUCUCUUCUCCAAGCUUUGCUUCUUUGCUCUGCUCUUCUCUCUCUCUCUCUCAGCUCUGCUUUACAAAUAAAAUACAACCAUAACAAAAAGAAAGGAAAAGCAACAUCAAACAAAUGUAAAACAUUUGUGGCCUUUUAAAAGUAUUUACUUAUUUAUUUGAAAGUCAGAGAGAGAGAGAGAGAGAGAGAGAGAGAGAUAUGAUUAUGUAAUUGUUCACUCCCCAAAAGAUUGCAAUAGGUGAGGCUGAGCCAGGCUGAACCAAGAGCCAGGAAUAGAAACUUCCUCUAGGUCUCCCAUAUAGUUGCAGGGGCUCAAGGACACAGGCCAUUCUCUGCCACUUUCCUAGGUGCAUAAUCAGGGAGCUGUACAGGAUUGAAUGGGCAUCCAUAUGGGAUUCCAGCAAUGUAGAUAGUGACUUAACCCACUGUACCAAGCUCUGGCCCUUAAUUAUUUUAGAGGCAUGGUUGUGGGAAUAGAGAGAGACAGAGAUAGAGAGAGAUGGAGAGAAUCUUGCAUUCUCUCACCCCCAAAAAGCUCUACAUAUGUCAGACGAUACUUAUCUCUCUUGUUUGUGCCUGCUUGUUAUUUUUCUACAGUGAUUAGUCUGGCUGUGCGUUCCUAAUUGUUAUGUUACUAGUUGAACACUAGAUUAAAUAAUAAAAAGCACUGGUUGGAGCUAUCCAGCAACUCUCUCCAAAUGAAGAUGGCUGUGCCUCAGCUCAUCAUUUGAAACUCCACAGCCACCAGCUGUCAGAGGCCAGUCCUCUUUGAAGUUGGCAGAAAAAUCUCUCAACAUCACACAGCUCCAGAGAAUCACUAUACACUUCCCCUUACAGAGCUCCUAUCCAUCUGGUCAGAGGCACAGACAGCCUUAAAGACAGGUGGAUGACAGGAGCUAGACACCUGGAAGGGUGACUUAGCCAAUAGAAGUGUCAGAGGGAGAGCUAAAUAGAAAAAGUCCACGUCUCACCUCCCUGGUCCACAAAGAGGCAGCUUCUCACCCAAUUGGCAUUGGGUGGCCACCAGUUAAAUUGCCACACUCACAGGAUUCAUCUGUCUGGUGCAUUCAUUGCAGGCCCAUUGCCCAAUACUGGGGUCAGUGCUGACUGCCCAAAGACCCAUGAUCCAAACACAGACACACCAAGUGUACAUGCUCACUCACCCCCACAGGGUCAUAUUAAGGAAUGGGAGAAAUUUACACAGUCUCAGUGUGGGGGAGGCUGAAUCCGGAGAGGCCUAGAGGAACUUCCUGAGCCUGCCUCAAAUUUGAAAAUCUGUCUUUAAGUUUCAAAUCCCUGGUAGCAAACACCCCAGCCCCAGGGCGCUUCUGCUUAAGGAUCAUUAAGGUGGUAUAAUAGGAGUGGCUAAGACCCUUGUGCAUCUCAACACCCCACCACUUGCCCGCAUCUGCUCAUCUGCUCUGUACCAUUUGCUCUGUAACUCAGCUAUAUAUACACCUCCCUUUUACAAUAAAGUGAGACCCUGCUUCGACUGGGCUCCACACCAUGCCUGAUUGUCCCCCGGGUUUGGGUUUGGGGAAGGCUGAGUGGUGGGUGGCGUACUUCCCCUCCUCGGUCAAGGUAAGCUGUGGGGAGCCUGCCUAAUUCUCCAGCGGUGGCGAGGAACAGUCACCGCAGUCUCAGCACACAAUAGGCAGCACUAAGGGAUCAACUGUCAUCAGUCUCAGCAGAAGAUAGGAGAUCAGGGCUACACACAUGGGGAUGGCUGUCCCACAUCAGCAGGGCAUAAAAAGUGCUAUUCCCACAUAUCUGGAUCCAGAAUCCUCCCGCUCUGCUGAUGGUGCCUUCUGCCUAGAGAAUGAACACCAGUUCAGUCAGACCCUGGACACACUGGUGGCUUCUAACUGCUACAGAACAUGGAGGGAGAGGUGGUAGACAACAGUGACAUGAUGGAGCUCUGCCAGCCCUGUUACAGUUAAGUUCCCCCUGUCAAGAGUAUCCAGGGUCGGCAUCCUCAAACCCUCACUACUCACAAAUAAUCUAAAACUGCUAUUGCUGGAUACUCUGAUUUUUCCAAGCCAUGAUUGAAGAAGACAUGUCUGUACCAAGUGUGCUAUAGACCCAGAUGAGCCACGGUUGUCAUCUAUUGAACAAGGUACCAAGUCCCCAUGAGCCUCCUCCUCCUACCAGUCAUUUUCCACCAGCACAAUUUUGUAACAACUUUUAAGCCUUCUCAUUUUGUGUUAAAGUUAGUAUAAUGAAUCCCCACUCAAAUCUCAUGUAAAUUGCCAAGUGCCUCGUACUGUGUCAAACACUGCAAUGGCCAGAACAUGAGAGUACCAGACAUGACAAGCCUCAGCACUAAAGAUACACAAUGGGCCCCUGCUCUGAUCCUCCCUGCUACUAUAGGUGCAGGGCAACAGAGUUCUGGUACUUGGAGAGGGGUGUAGCAGGCUAAGUGCCACCUGCCUUGGAUCAUAAUUCUGGUCUCAGUUAACAUAGACCUUGCUUGCCACUUCCAGAAACUGAGUAGCAUUCAUGCCUGCAAAGCCCUUGAGUUUCUGGAGCUUUUGAUGAAUGUCAGGGGCACUUUGAGCACAAAAGUGCUGCUGACCUUCUGUUCAUUUUCUGGGGCUUCAGGGUUGAAAGGGGAACAAAUCUGAAUGCCUCAACUAGCCACUCAUAAAAAUCUCCUGGUGCCUCAUUACUCUUCUGGAUGACAGUUAUAAUUUUGGCUGUGUGGUGAGCUUUCUGGAUGCCACCCAGAGACCCCUCAAGAGUAUCUCUCAGUAGUGGUCUAGGAGGAUUAUUUCUUCUGGCUGGUAAACUUUCCAGUAUGGAGCCUGGCUAGGAACAACCUGGGGGACCUAUGUGUCAGGAUGGAAUGUCCAAGCUGGGUACUGUUUUUGAGUCCAUUUGUGGGCCUUGAGAAUUCUCCAUCUCUCUUCAGUAUUGAACAGGGUCGGGGGUGUUGGCGACAGUCCCUCUAUGUUAGAUGAUGGGUUUGGAAAAUGGUCUCAAAUAAAAUUAAAGUGCCUGCAGUUACUCCAA